UACGUAGGGGGCAAGCGUUGUCCGGAUUUAUUGGGCGUAAAGAGCGUGUAGGCGGUUUGGUAGGUCCGUUGUGAAAACUCGAGGCUCAACCUCGAGACGCCGAUGGAAACCAUCAGACUAGAGUCCGGAAGAGGAGAGUGGAAUUCCUGGUGUAGCGGUGAAAUGCGCAGAUAUCAGGAAGAACACCCGUGGCUAAGGCGGCUCUCUAGUACGGUACUGACGCUGAGACUCGAAAGCGUGGGGAGCGAACAGG
rnacentral:rRNA from 1 species